AUUCCAGCUCCAAUAGCGUAUAUUAAAGUUGUUGCGGUUAAAAAGCUCGUAGUUGGAUUUCUGCUGAGGACGACCGGUCCGCCCUCUGGGUGAGUAUCUGGCUCGGCCUUGGCAUCUUCUUGGGGAACGUAACUGCACUUGACUGUGUGGUGCGGUAUCCAGGACUUUUACUUUGAGGAAAUUAGAGUGUUUCAAGCAGGCGCACGCCUUGAAUACAUUAGCAUGGAAUAAUAAGAUAGGACCUUGGUUCUAUUUUGUUGGUUUCUAGAGCUGAGGUAAUGAUUAAUAGGGAUAGUUGGGGGUAUUCAUAUUUAAUUGUCAGAGGUGAAAUUCUUGGAUUUAUGAAAGAUGAACUCAUGCGAAAGCAUUUACCAAGAAUGUUUUCAUUA
rnacentral:rRNA from 1 species